UACGUAGGGUGCAAGCGUUGUCCGGAAUUAUUGGGCGUAAAGAGCUCGUAGGCGGUCUGUCGCGUCUGCUGUGAAAACUCAGGGCUUAACCCUGAGCUUGCAGUGGGUACGGGCAGACUAGAGUGCGGUAGGGGAGACUGGAAUUCCUGGUGUAGCGGUGAAAUGCGCAGAUAUCAGGAGGAACACCGGUGGCGAAGGCGGGUCUCUGGGCCGUAACUGACGCUGAGGAGCGAAAGCAUGGGGAGCGAACAGGA
rnacentral:rRNA from 1 species